GGUACUCAGUGUACCGUUAUAUGGCAAGUGUACAUGAAUUGAAACAUGCCAGCAUUGCAGUUGCUAAUCUAAGUAUUAAUAGUUUGUUUAUUUCUUAUUAAUUUUGUAAUGUGUUUUAAUUACAAUCUUUUGUUCAUUGACAAUAAAUGUCUCAGUAGUUUGUUUACCUGGCACUGUUGAGGAAUUAUAAUGAAAAUUUACACAUUAGUUACAACAGAGAAUGAAAAUCUCUUCUUAAAUCCUGAUCCAGGCUGAUGAGAUUUGAUGUUGAAUGCUGUUUUUUGGGGUGGAAAUUUUAUAUUAUAACCUUAAUGGUGAGGAUAAUUCAGGCUUUGAUUCAAACUUUAUUUACAAAGAUCGAUUUUGAUAUACUUUAACAUAUUUUGAUUUAGAAUGUAUAUGAACAUGCAUGUAUUUGUAGAGUAUUUCAUAUUGUUUUAUAAGCACCUGACGUUCUAUACUUGUUACAAAAUUGUUUUAAUAUGAUCUAUCUACAGUAUGAUUUACAUGUAUAAAUCUUUUUGUAAC
rnacentral:misc_RNA from 1 species